GACGAACGCUGGCUGCGUGCUUAACACAUGCAAGUCGAACGCUGAAGCCCCAGCUUGCUGGGGUGGAUGAGUGGCGAACGGGUGAGUAACACGUGAGUAACCUGCCCCUGACUUCGGGAUAAGCCCGGGAAACUGGGUCUAAUACCGGAUACGACUAUCGGACGCAUGUCUGGUGGUGGAAAGUUUUUUCGGUUGGGGAUGGGCUCGCGGCCUAUCAGUUUGUUGGUGAGGUAAUGGCUCACCAAGACGACGACGGGUAGCCGGCCUGAGAGGGCGACCGGCCACACGGGGACUGAGACACGGCCCAGACUCCUACGGGAGGCAGCAGUGGGGAAUAUUGCACAAUGGGGGAAACCCUGAUGCAGCGACGCAGCGUGCGGGAUGACGGCCUUCGGGUUGUAAACCGCUUUCAGCAGGGAAGAAGCCUUCGGGUGACGGUACCUGCAGAAGAAGUACCGGCUAACUACGUG
rnacentral:rRNA from 1 species